UACGGGGGGAGCAAGCGUUGUUCGGAUUUACUGGGCGUAAAGGGCGCGUAGGCGGCGUGACAAGAUCACGUUUGUGAAAUCUCCGGGCUUAACCCGGAGCGGCCAAGGUGAUACUGUCGUGCUAGAGUGCGGAAGGGGCUACUGGAAUUCUCGGUGUAGCGGAUGAAAUGCGUAGAUAUCGAGAGGAACACCUGCGGCGAAGGCGGGAUAGCUGGGCCGACACUGACGCUGAGGCGCGAAAGCCAGGGGAGCGAACGGG
rnacentral:rRNA from 1 species